rnacentral:rRNA from 1 species
UGCUGUGAACUCGAAGAGUAGGGCGGGACACGUGGUAUCCUGUCUGAAUAUGGGGGGACCAUCCUCCAAGGCUAAAUACUCCUGACUGACCGAUAGUGAACCAGUACCGUGAGGGAAAGGCGAAAAGAACCCCGGCGAGGGGAGUGAAAAAGAACCUGAAACCGUGUACGUACAAGCAGUGGGAGCCUCUUUAUGGGGUGACUGCGUACCUUUUGUAUAAUGGGUCAGCGACUUAUAUUCUGUAGCAAGGUUAACCGUAUAGGGGAGCCGAAGGGAAACCGAGUCUUAACUGGGCGUUAAGUUGCAGGGUAUAGACCCGAAACCCGGUGAUCUAGCCAUGGGCAGGUUGAAGGUUGGGUAACACUAACUGGAGGACCGAACCGACUAAUGUUGAAAAAUUAGCGGAUGACCUGUGGCUGGGGGUGAAAGGCCAAUCAAACCGGGAGAUAGCUGGUUCUCCCCGAAAGCUAUUUAGGUAGCGCCUCGUGAACUCAUCUUCGGGGGUAGAGCACUGUUUCGGCUAGGGGGCCAUCCCGGCUUACCAACCCGAUGCAAACUACGAAUACCGAAGAAUGUUAUCACGGGAGACACACGGCGGGUGCUAACGUCCGUCGUGAAGAGGGAAACAACCCAGACCGCCAGCUAAGGUCCCAAAGUCAUGGUUAAGUGGGAAACGAUGUGGGAAGGCACAGACAGCCAGGAUGUUGGCUUAGAAGCAGCCAUCAUUUAAAGAAAGCGUAAUAGCUCACUGGUCGAGUCGGCCUGCGCGGAAGAUGUAACGGGGCUAAACCAUGCACCGAAGCUGCGGCAGCGACACUUAUGUGUUGUUGGGUAGGGGAGCGUUCUGUAAGCCGUUGAAGGUGUGCUGUGAGGCAUGCUGGAGGUAUCAGAAGUGCGAAUGCUGACAUAAGUAACGAUAAAGCGGGUGAAAAGCCCGCUCGCCGGAAGACCAAGGGUUCCUGUCCAACGUUAAUCGGGGCAGGGUGAGUCGACCCCUAAGGCGAGGCCGAAAGGCGUAGUCGAUGGGAAACAGGUUAAUAUUCCUGUACUUGGUGUUACUGCGAAGGGGGGACGGAGAAGGCUAUGUCAGCCGGGCGACGGUUGUCCCGGUUUAAGCAUGUAGGCGGAGGUUCCAGGUAAAUCCGGUACCUUGUUAACGCUGAGGUGUGAUGACGAGGCACUACGGUGCUGAAGUGAUAAAUGCCCUGCUUCCAGGAAAAGCCUCUAAGCAUCAGGUAACACGAAAUCGUACCCCAAACCGACACAGGUGGUCAGGUAGAGAAUACCAAGGCGCUUGAGAGAACUCGGGUGAAGGAACUAGGCAAAAUGGUGCCGUAACUUCGGGAGAAGGCACGCUGAUGUGUAGGUGAAGCCCCUGCGGGUGGAGCUGAAAUCAGUCGAAGAUACCAGCUGGCUGCAACUGUUUAUUAAAAACACAGCACUGUGCAAACACGAAAGUGGACGUAUACGGUGUGACGCCUGCCCGGUGCCGGAAGGUUAAUUGAUGGGGUUAGCGGCAACGCGAAGCUCUUGAUCGAAGCCCCGGUAAACGGCGGCCGUAACUAUAACGGUCCUAAGGUAGCGAAAUUCCUUGUCGGGU